GGGGUAAAAUUAAUAAAUUUAUAUUUUAAUAAAAUUAAUUUUAAUUUAUAUAAUAUUUAAUGGGGGUUAAAGUAUUAUUUAAAGAAAAAAUUUAAAGUUUUAUAGAUUAAUAGUAUUGUAAAAUAAAUUUGAAAUAAUUGAAAAUAAAUUUAUUUAAAAGUAAUUUUUAUUUAUUGUAUCUUGUGUAUCAGAGUUUAUUUAAAAUUUUUAAUUUAUUUUUAAUUUCUCGAAUUUAAAAGAGUUAAAUAAUUAUUAAAGUUAUUGUAGCAAAACUAUUUUAAAUAAUUAUUUUGAAAUGAAAUGUUAAUCGUUUUUAAAGAUAUCUAGUUUUUUUAGAAAAAAAUUUAAUUUUAAAUUUUUUAUAUAAUUUAAUUAAUUAAUUAAUUAAAAUUAUUAUUAAAUUUUAUAUUUUAAGGGAUAAGCUUUAAAAAUUAAAAUUUUAUAAUAAAAUAAAUUUUUAUUUGAAAAUUUUAUAAUUUAUAUUGUUGAUAAAUUUUAGUUUAUUAUAAAUAAUUUCAUUUAAAAAAAAAUUUAAUAUUUUAUUUAAGUUUUUAUAAAAAAAUAAUUUUUAAUUAUAAAAUUUUAGAUAUAAUGAUAAAAUUAGUAUAUAUUAAUUUAAUUUUAUUAAUUUUAAGUUAAUAAUAUUUAAUUUAAUUAAUUAAAAGGAAUUCGGCAAAUAUCUAUUUUCACUUGUUUAUCAAAAACAUGUCUUUUUGUGGUUUAUUUAAAGUCUAAUCUGCCCACUGAUUUUAAAAUUAAAGGGCUGCAGUAUUUUGACUGUACAAAGGUAGCAUAAUCAUUAGUCUCUUAAUUGGUGACUUGUAUGAAAGAUUGAAUGAGAAAUAUACUGUCUCUUAAUUAAUUUAUAUAAUUUAAUUUUUUAUUUAAAAAGUUAAAAUAAUUUAAAAAGACGAGAAGACCCUAUAGAGUUUUAUAUUUAUUUUAUUAAUGAUAUUAUUUGUUUUUAUUUAAUUUUUAAUAAAUAAAAUAUUUUGUUGGGGUGAUAGAAAAAUAUAUUUAACUUUUUUUAAAAAUUUAACAUUAAUAAGUGAUUAAAUGAUCCAAUUUUAUUGAUUAUAAGAUUAAAUUACCUUAGGGAUAACAGCGUAAUUUUUUUUUUUAGUUCAAAUAAGAAAAAAAGUUUGCGACCUCGAUGUUGGAUUAAGAUAAAAUUUAAAUGCAAAAGUUUAAAAUUUUUGAUCUGUUCGAUCAUUAAAAUCUUACAUGAUCUGAGUUCAAACCGGUGUGAGCCAGGUUGGUUUCUAUCUUUUAAAAAUUUAAAUAUUUUAGUACGAAAGGAUCGAAUAUUUUAAUUAAAUUAUUUAUUUUGAAUUUUAUUAAAUAAAUAAAUUUUUAAAAAUAUUUUAUUAUAAUAAU
rnacentral:rRNA from 1 species